rnacentral:rRNA from 1 species
UUCCCCUAGUAACUGCGAGUGAAGCGGGAAAAGCUCAAAUUUAAAAUCUGGCAGCUCUUUUUUUUCUUCUUUGGCUGUCUGAGUUGUAAUCUAGAGAAGUGCUUACCUGCACUGGACCAUGUAUAAGUCUCCUGGAAUGGAGCCUCACAGAGGGUGAGAAUCCCGUCUUUGACAUGGACUGCCAGUGUGUUGUGGUGUGCUCUCAAAGAGUCGAGUUGUUUGGGAAUGCAGCUCUAAAUGGGUGGUAAACUCCAUCUAAAGCUAAAUAUUGGCGAGAGACCGAUAGCGAACAAGUACCGUGAGGGAAAGAUGAAAAGGACUUUGGAAAGAGAGUUAAACAGUAUGUGAAAUUGUUGAAAGGGAAACGCUUGAAGUCAGUUAUGUUGGCUAGGGAUCAACCUAGCUAUUUAUUGCUGGGUGAAUUUCCUAGUCUGACAGGCCAAUGUCAGUCUUGACUGCUAGAAAAGAGCAGAGGGAAUGUGGCACCUUUGGGUGUGUUAUAGCUCUUUGUCAUAUGUGGCAGUUGGGACUGAGGGAUGCAGCGUGCCGUGAGGCUGGGUUUCGACCACGUUCGCGCUUAGGAUGUUGGCUUUUAAUGGCUUCAAUCGACCCGUCUUGAAACACGGACCAAGGAGUCUAACAUGCCUGCAAGUGUUUGGGUGGUGAAAACCCUUGUGCACAAUGAAAGUGAAAGUUGAGAUCCCUGUCAUGGGGAGCAUCGACGCCCGGACCUGAGCUUUUAGCAAAGGAUCUGCGGUAGAGCAUGCAUGUUGGGACCCGAAAGAUGGUGAACUAUGCCUGAAUAGGGCAAAKCCAGAGGAAACUCUGGUGGAGGCUCGUAGCGAUUCUGACGUGCAAAUCGAUCGUCAAAUUUGGGUAUAGGGGCGAAAGACU